UUGCCUUCACAAGGUUUGCAAGAUAUUGUUUGCAACUGGUUUGAUCGAGUUGUUAAAAAGAAAACGAAAAUAAAAAAAAAGCACGAGAACCUUUGCAAGCUUCGCUUACGUGGCAACAAUUACCCAAUGAAGACUUGCAGAGAGUAAAGUUGUUCGAAACUGAACAGAGAUACGUGGGUGGGUGUAGUGAAAGAAAAAGAAGAAGGGAAAGGAACCGGCAGACUGCAGUUCCAUCAUCAUCGUCUUUGGAAAACCCCAACAAUUCCAACAGUGGCGAACACCGCGAUGGCGAGCAAGCUCGCACUCUCGUCAGAUUAUCUUCUCGCAACGUUUCAUCCAAAAACAACUUUGUCAAGGUUAAGGUAUGGUUGGGAGAUAAUGCGAAUCACUACCAUGCCCUAUCCAGAUUUUUGCUCAGCAGAACGUUGACUGUUACCAAGGUUUCUGUUUAACUACAUUGUACAUCCCUUUUUUGGUUUCCUCUUAUUAUUUUUGCCGUAUUAUUAUUUGUUUGUGAUGGCUCCAUGCCUCCAGCAGUCGAUUUCUUUCUCUCUUUAUGCUCAUCUUUUAUUUCACUUCAAUUCUCACUAGAAAUUUCUGAGUAAGAGAUAAAUCAAUCUGCCACUGCCAGCAUAUCUUUAAGUAAGUUACUUGUUCCUCAAUACAUAUAUAUUGGAUUCUAAUAUUUACUAGAAUAAAGAGUGAGUACAUGCCAGUGUUAAAUUUCUUCUGGGUGCUUUAUAUCCUAUGGAUGGUUCAAAUAUUUGAAUUUUAUCAGAAUUCUAAUUGCUUUUGCUGCUGGAGCCUGGAUGUAUAUUUGAAUUUUGCAAGAAUACUUGCUGCCUUGUUGGUCGAUGUACAUUAUGGUCCCUCGAGUCUUGUUUCUUUUUUAUUUCUCGGUGUUCUAAUUUUGAAAUAUGAUAUGACUGAUUGAGCCGAUGACUCCUGAGUAAGUAUAUCGCUAUUUAUUCUGAACUAAUGAUUUCUAAUUCCAAAUCAACUGCCAGUUUUACUUUUGUUCAACCAUAGUUUAAUCCAAUUUUUCUUCAAGAUUUAUAUGAAUUUAUUUCAUCCAACUACAUUUUGAUUGGUUAGAAAACUUCUUCACUACAUUCUGUUAAUCCAUUUCCUGGGGUGCAUAGUUCUGGUGAUGGUGUUCUCAUUCAUUCAUAGUUUGGAUAGGCAACAUUAUCGUUACUUUUGUUUAUCUAGUGAAGUUCCCAUUUGUCUAUUUCCUGCUUUCAGUCUUUACUUAUUUGCCGACUCAGGCUCUUCUUAGCAAAACAGGACAUGAGUUGAGCAACUGGAUUUAUUUGGGUGGUGUUAAGGCUUUUGCUGAUGGGUCUUUAGGUUCUAAUAGUGCGCUCUUUCAUGAGUUGUUUGGUUUCUGUUGCAGAGUCCUACCUGAGCUGGAGUGGCAUUGUGUUUGAAAGCAAUGGACUGAAUGACUGGAUGUUCCACCACAGCUGUUGAUCCCCAUGCAUUGCCUGGUCCACCCAGGGGUGAAUAAGCA